CAAAUUAAUGACACCACCUAGCAAUAAACAACUUAUUAAAAUCAAUGAUAUUCUAACCUCUUAAGAAAUACUCUGAGCAACUGCACAAACAGACCCCAAUAAAACAUAUUUAGAAUUAGAAAACCAACCAGCCCCCAUAACAGAAUAAACACCAAUACUAGACACACAUAAAAAUAAAAUCAUUCUCAUACCACCUAUCGCCACAAAAAAA